rnacentral:misc_RNA from 1 species
UCCGGUUUGGCACCGGCAGUCUCCCAUGAGUCCCCGACACAACUCGCUGGCAACAUGGGACAGGGGUUGCGCUCGUUGCGCCACUUAAGGCAACACCUCACGGCACGAGCUAACGACAGCCAUGCACCACCUGUGCGGGCCCCGAAGGGCGCCGUGUUUCCACGGCUUCAACCCGCAUGUCAAGCCCUGGUAAGGUUCUUCGCGUUGCAUCGAAUUAAGCAACACGCUCCGCUGCUUGUGCGGGCCCCCGUCAAUUCCUUUGAGUUUUAACCUUGCGGCCGUACUCCCCAGGCGGGGUGCUUAAUGCGUUAGCUUCGGCACGGACGGGGUUGAUAUCCGCCCACACCUAGCACCCAACGUUUACGGCUAGGACUAC